UCAAGCACUUACAUGAUGUUCUGAGGGCAGCAAGAUAAGGAUGGUGACAAAGAUAGGCAUGCCAUGAACAUGUUCAGCUAUCGAGAGGAAAGCACGGCGCAAGUGGUGUUCCGAUCCAAGCGUCCCUUCCUAACUUUGCAGCCCGCUCCGCCUAUGCGUGGUCGACGGUGGGGACGGCGACUCGGCUGUUGGGCGCGUCCUGCUGGUGUCACGCGAUCCUCCAAGACGGCGCUGACGACAGCGCCCAUUGUUCCUCUGCUCUCUAAGCCAUCGCCCUACGGCUUCCUUCAAAGGAACUGUGGCCACGCUGCCAUUCGGCGAAGCUGCAGCAGCUGCUCGACGCCCGAGAAUCGCACGCAGCAGCCCAACUGGCGUCAUUGAGGAGGUAAUGUACGUGUCCCGACCUGCCGGCGUGCUGCCCUUUGGUGACGCUGCGGUGGCUGCUCGACGCCGAAGAAUCGCACGCAGCAGCAGCGCCACGAGCAGCGCUCACUUCGCCAAGUGCAUCGCAUGCUGCAGCUGUUGCGCCUCGAGCGACCCAGUGUUGCCGAACGAGUUCACGUCGACUAUUCUUUCUCUAGAAAGAGUCGACGCGCGUGGUCACCACGUUUAUGUUAACUCUUUUGCUUUCGUGAUCCGUCACUUUUUGUUCUACUCCUUCUUUAAUAUAUCAAUAAAUAUGGUUUUGAUUGUCUA